GAUGAACGCUGGCGGCGUGCCUAAUACAUGCAAGUCGAGCGAACAGAUAAGGAGCUUGCUCCUUUGACGUUAGCGGCGGACGGGUGAGUAACACGUGGAUAACCUACCUAUAAGACUGGGAUAACUUCGGGAAACCGGAGCUAAUACCGGAUAACAUAUUGAACCGCAUGGUUCAAUAGUGAGAGGCGGCUUUGCUGUCACUUAUAGAUGGAUCCGCGCCGUAUUAGCUAGUUGGUAAGGUAACGGCUUACCAAGGCAACGAUACGUAGCCGACCUGAGAGGGUGAUCGGCCACACUGGAACUGAGACACGGUCCAGACUCCUACGGGAGGCAGCAGUAGGGAAUCUUCCGCAAUGGGCGAAAGCCUGACGGAGCAACGCCGCGUGAGUGAUGAAGGUCUUCGGAUCGUAAAACUCUGUUAUCAGGGAAGAACAAAUGUGUAAGUAACUGUGCACAUCUUGACGGUACUUGAUCAGAAAGCCACGGCUAACUACGUG
rnacentral:rRNA from 1 species